ACUACUAUGUAGAGUUUGAUCCUGGCUCAGAUUGAACGCUGGCGGCAUGCCUUACACAUGCAAGUCGAACGGCAGCGCGGGGCAACCUGGCGGCGAGUGGCGAACGGGUGAGUAAUAUAUCGGAACGUACCCUGGAGUGGGGGAUAACGCAGCGAAAGCUGCGCUAAUACCGCAUACGAUCUAAGGAUGAAAGUGGGGGAUCGCAAGACCUCAUGCUCCUGGAGCGGCCGAUAUCUGAUUAACUAGUUGGUGGGGUAAAGGCCUACCAAGGCAUCGAUCAGUAGCUGGUCUGAGAGGACGACCAGCCACACUGGAACUGAGACACGGUCCAGACUCCUACAGGAGGCAGCAGUGGGGAAUUUUGGACAAUGGGCGCAAGCCUGAUCCAGCAAUGCCGCGUGAGUGAAGAAGGCCUUCGGGUUGUAAAGCUCUUUUGUCAGGGAAGAAACGGUGCGGGCUAAUAUCCUGCGCUAAUGACGGUACCUGAAGAAUAAGCACCGGCUAACUACGUGCCAGCCGCCGCAGUA
rnacentral:rRNA from 1 species